AUGUCCCUUGGAUGCCGCCAUGGUCUCGUGCUCAUCUACCUUACGAAGCGCCUCCAGAUCCUGGUGUGGGACCCCGUCACCGCCGACCAGCACCACCUCGCCAUUCCCCCGGGGGUUGCGGCAUGUGGGGGCAAGACUCCGAUCAACGGGGCGGUGCUCCGCGCUCCUGGAGACGUCCAACACUUCCAGGCCUGUGUUUACUCGUUGAAGACCGGCUUAUGGGGAGAUCCCAUCUCAACACUCCUUCCAUACCAGGCAGUCCAGGCCGAUGUAUUCAGUUUCCCCACCCUCAUUUCUACGGAUGUCGUUGUGCUGGCUGGAGAUUCCCUUCACUGGGUGCUUGCUGGGAAUUUCAAUGGCAUUCUCGAGUUUGAUUUGGAGAAGCAGAGGCUAGCUGUGAUACGGCUGCCAGACGAGGUCAACUGCUGGAAGCUUAUGCGGGCAGAGGGCGGUGGGCUUGGUCUCCUCGGAAUGUCAGACUCAAACGGCAACACCCAGUUAUGGAAGAGAAAGACCAAUUGUGAUGGUGUUGCUUCAUGGGUGCUUGGAAGGACUAUUGAUCUCGAGAAUAUACUUCCUCUGAAACCAGAGGAGAAAGGGACCAUUGCGAUACUAGGGCUUGCCGAGGACAAUAAUGUGUUGCUGCUGUGGACAAUUAUUGGUCUCUUCGUGGUCGAUCUUGAGUCAUUAAAGUUCAAGAAGCUUUUUCAAACUAUGAUAAUUUCUCAGUAUUAUCCAUUUGAAAGUGUCUACACUACAGCCUGGCAGUUCCUACCAUAUGAAUAUCCAUACAAUAAAACAAUCAUUACCUGUGACCUGUUCGGAGGUACUCCGCUCCACAGCUCCACUCCCGGAGCUGGUGGAGUUAUAGUUGAAAUUUGCGGAGCGCCAGUUUACUGGCUCCGCAGCUCUCCGGAGCUGGUGCUGGUCUCGGGGAGGGGGGCGGCGAGCUCGAGCAGGAGGAAUAGGCUCGGUACCUUGAUCCUUGAGCAGUGCAAGCGCCUUUGCCGGAUGGCGCCGGCAGAUGCUUGGGGCGGCGGCGGCUGCUCGGAGAGGGGGGCGGGGGCGGCUGCUCCUAGCCUCCUCAAAUGA
rnacentral:rRNA from 1 species